UGCCAGCCGCCGCGGUAAUACGGAGGGGGUUAGCGUUGUUCGGAAUUACUGGGCGUAAAGCGCGCGUAGGCGGAUUGGAAAGUUAGAGGUGAAAUCCCAGGGCUCAACCCUGGAACUGCCUUUAAAACUCCCAGUCUUGAGUUCGAGAGAGGUGAGUGGAAUUCCGAGUGUAGAGGUGAAAUUCGUAGAUAUUCGGAGGAACACCGAUGGCGAAGGCAUCUCUCUGGGCCGAUAUUGACGUUGAGGCGCGAAAGCGUGGGUAGCGAACGGGAUUAGAUA
rnacentral:rRNA from 1 species